AUUGAACGCUGGCGGCAGGCUUAACACAUGCAAGUCGAACGCCCCGCAAGGGGAGUGGCAGACGGGUGAGUAACGCGUGGGGAUCUACCCAGUUCUACGGAACAACUGAGGGAAACUUCAGCUAAUACCGUAUACGCCCUACGGGGUAAAGAUUUAUCGGAAUUGGAUGAGCCCGCGUUGGAUUAGCUAGUUGGUGAGGUAAUGGCCCACCAAGGCGACGAUCCAUAGCUGGUCUGAGAGGAUGAUCCGCCAGACUGGGACUGAGACACGGCCCGGCCUCGGAGGGAACGGAGCGAAGGGGAAAAUUGGACCAUGGGCCCAAGCCUGACCCAGCCAUGCCGCAUGAGUAAUGAAGACCUUAGGGUUUUAAAGCUCUUUCAGUGUGAACGAUAAUGACGGUACCCACAGAAGAAGCCCCGGCUAACUUCGUGCCAGCCGCCGCCGUAAAAC
rnacentral:rRNA from 1 species